rnacentral:lncRNA from 1 species
CUUAACCUUGCAUUGCUGGAUGUUGAGAAUGAUUCACUCUCCUCGAGCAGCUUAGAGCAGAGCAUAUCAUUGCAGGAUUACUUGCAAGGCAGGUGGAGCCGCUCAUCAAGCUUAGACUAACCAACAUCAUUGUUCGUCUCUGCAAUUCUUUUUUGUAUAUCCUUUUGGUGUUUACCUUUCUUGUUCAAUUAGGUUUGUGUUCUUUUUUGGGUUUCUUACAGAUGGGUAUUGGAUGA